rnacentral:rRNA from 1 species
GACGAACGCUGGCGGCGUGCUUAACACAUGCAAGUCGAACGGAAAGGCCCUGCUUUUGUGGGGUGCUCGAGCGGCGAACGGGUGAGUAACACGUGAGUAACCUGCCCUUGACUUUGGGAUAACUUCAGGAAACUGGGGCUAAUACAGGAUAGGAGCUCCUGCUGCAUGGUGGGGGUUGGAAAGUUUCGGCGGUUGGGGAUGGACUCGAGGGUUAUCAGCUUGUUUGUGGGGUAGUGGCUUACCAAGGGUUUGACGGAUAGCCGGCCUGAGAGGGUGGCCGGGGACAUUGGUACUGAGAGACGGACCAGUAUCGAAUGGUAGGCAGCGGGGGGGAGUAUGACACAGCGGGCCGGCGUGUGAGGCAGAAACGUUGGGUGCGUGAUGACGUCCUUCUGGUUGUAAACCGCUUUCGCCUGAGACGAAGCGUGAGUGACGGUAACGGGUAAAGAAGCACCGGCUAACUACGUG